AGAGAUAAACGCAUAGUUCAGAUACUAUACUGUUUUUAUAGUUCACUCUUAUAAGUAUAUAGCUGGAUAUCCAUACUACUAUUCUGUUGUUGUAGUUCAUUCUUAUAAGUAUAUAGCUGGAUAUCCAUACUACUAGUAUACAAAGACAUUGUUUCCAAAUCACCUAUAGAGAUAUUUCUACAUGAUUCCAUACUGGUGUCACUAAGCAACACGAAGCUUCAUAUGAAUUGACAAUCAACCCAAACCCAUGUGAGGAUUACAUUAACAACGAAAUAAUUUUACUUUUUUAGGACCCAUUUGCCCAUACAUAAACAUCAUAAAAAAUAUAUACACUAGGGCUUGAUUGGGAGUAAGUUUUGGGAAGAGGAAUUUGUUGGGCACAGCAUAUAAGUAAGAAAAAAUAAAAUGAUGCUCCUACUCCAAUCUUUUUCUCUCACCAUUUUACAGCCCAAUCGCCACUUGUUGUUCGGUUACCACAAUUGAUGGAGAAAGAGAAACAGUAUUCAACGGCGACGAGUUAUUUCUGAAAUUGGGAACAAAUUGAGAGAGAGAGACCGAUAGAUGAUGAGCUGGUGUGUCCGAUUGUAGCAGCGGCUAUGGUGAGGUGACAGCCGUGAGAGUCUGAAUUGUGAAGAGAGAAGAAGGUUCGAAUUUGGGGAAAAUCGAUUUUGGGUAAUACAAUGGAAGGCGGCGGAAGGAAUCGAUGCGCAAAAUAGAAAGAGGAGAGUGUUUUGGGCUUUCUAUUAACUAAAUUAAAGUGUUGGGCUGUGAAAGUUUAUCAAGAGUUUGGGAUGAAAAUGAAAUAGUCAGUGUUUGGGCUUUUGAUAUUCAAAAAGGAGAAAAGAAUUUAGGCUGUCAUUGUUCAUGUUAGGCCGAGAUAAAUAACGCUGAGUGUUGGGUCAAUGGAGAUAGGAAGCUCAGAAUUUUCUAAGAAAUUUCGAAGGGUAAUAUGAAUCUAAAGUGGCUUUGCCAUGUGUGUUUAAAAUCGAAUUUGAAUCUGACUAGGGAGUGAGUCUUUGCUCAGGCUAGUGUACACCUCGUAGAUCGUGUGCCAUUUUUCAAGUUGGUCGUUCUAGUGGAUUGGGAUGUGGCCACAUUCCAUGUCAUGUAUGUUCAUAUACGGUAUGUUGAUGCUGCUGUUGAUGGAUGAUACAAUGAAAUGUUUUAGUGUCUCGUGUCCUUUCAAAGUUAGAACCUCGAGGUCACUUGUUAAUUGUAUGUCUCGUUUAUUCUGAAUGUGUCAUGUCUUCAUACAUGUUAUUAUUCGUUCUUUAAUGCUUC